AGACUUACCUGGCGGGGAAGGGUCGGUGAUCAGAGCUGCCGAUCUCCCAGGUCGAGGCUCUCCCAUUGCACUGCGGGGCUGCUGACGCCUGCGAUGUCCCCAAAUGUGGGAUAGUUGACUGCAGAGUUUGUGGUGGUGGGGACUGCGUUCGCGCUCCCCCUC